rnacentral:rRNA from 1 species
UCGGUCCCUAUCUGCCGUGGGCGCUGGAGAACUGAGGGGGGCUGCUCCUAGUACGAGAGGACCGGAGUGGACGCAUCACUGGUGUUCGGGUUGUCAUGCCAAUGGCACUGCCCGGUAGCUAAAUGCGGAAGAGAUAAGUGCUGAAAGCAUCUAAGCACGAAACUUGCCCCGAGAUGAGUUCUCCCUGACUCCUUGAGAGUCCUGAAGGAACGUUGAAGACGACGACGUUGAUAGGCCGGGUGUGUAAGCGCAGCGAUGCGUUGAGCUAACCGGUACUAAUGAACCGUGAGGCUUAACCUUACAACGCCGAAGGUGUUU